AUAACAUAGUACUUUAAUAAACCGUUUACAACUUGUAAAUUGUUUGGCCAAGAGACGUUACAAUAUGAAUAGCAUAUGAAUUAACAUAAAAUUUUGGGAGACGUGAGAAAUAAACGACUGUUAUAAUAUUACGUACGUUGUGAUUGUUGACUUUAACAGAAAAGAACCAUCGAUCGCGCAGUGGUUUGAAGACGGGCAGUUUUAUGUAGUGAUUUUAUGUACUUUCAAUAAUGAUAUUUUUAAGGUGCCCAGUAUGCGACCGUAUCCGGAAUUUUAGAAGCGCUACACGUAUUGUACUCGAAGCAUAUAAAGCGAAUGACUUUCGAGUCGAUCGUUGCGGACAGUGAUAUUAUUUCUCUAAAUUAACGGCACGUAAAGAGCGGACAAGUAAGUCGGGCGUUUAAAGGCGAACACGUCGUUGAAUUCGGAACAGUUUCGUUUAAUCGUACCGAAAAAAGGAUAUUGGUAAAUUUCGUCUUGAUAACGCACGUGAGGCCAGGGGCUUACAACCUUCGUGUCCACCACGCACGUGUUGCUAAAAACAAUAGCAAUUGGAGGGUUACAACAACCGAAAUCGCCCCCCGGCUACGCCGCUGAAUAGGUACGCUGCAAAAUUGCAUUCGACGUUACAACACA